rnacentral:rRNA from 1 species
GAUGAACGCUGGCGGCGUGCCUAAUACAUGCAAGUCGAGCGAACAGACGAGGAGCUUACUCCUCUGACGUUAGCGGCGGACGGGUGAGUAACACGUGGAUAACCUACCUAUAAGACUGGGAUAACUUCGGGAAACCGGAGCUAAUACCGGAUAACAUGUUGAACCGCAUGGUUCAACAGUGAAAGACGGUCUUGCUGUCACUUAUAGAUGGAUCCGCGUCGCAUUAGCUAGUUGGUAAGGUAACGGCUUACCAAGGCAACGAUGCGUAGCCGACCUGAGAGGGUGAUAGGCCACACUGGAACUGAGACACGGUCCAGACUCCUACGGGAGGCAGCAGUAGGGAAUCUUCAGCAAUGGGCGAAAGCCUGACGGAGCAACGCCGCGUGAGUGAAGAAGGUCUUCGGAUCGUAAAACACUGUUAUUAGGGAAGAACAAAUGUGUAAGUAACUAUGCACGUCGUGACGGUACCUAAUCAGAAAGCCACGGCUAACUACGUG